UUUGAAAGUAGUGUUUGAAAGAGUSCUCUAUSUAUGCACUUGCUAAGAGAUGGGCUGCGGACAUUAGCUUGAUGGUGGSSYAACGGCCUACCAUGGCRCGAUGUCUAGCUGGUCUGAGAGGAUGAUCAGCCACACUGGAACUGAGACACGGUCCAGACUCUACGGGAGGCAGCAGUGGGGAAUAUUGCGCAAUGGNNNAAACCCUGAGCAAUGCCGCGUGAGUGAGGAAGGCCCUCGGGUUGUAAAACUCUGUCAAUGUGGAAAAAUGGCACUUUAUCU
rnacentral:rRNA from 1 species